GAGAAGUCUGGAGACGACGUUCAGGUA
rnacentral:piRNA from 1 species